AGAGACCGGCGCACGGGUGCGUAACGCGUACGCAAUCUACCUUUCACAGAGGGAUAGCCCAGAGAAAUUUGGAUUAAUACCUCAUAGUAUAAUGCCUUGGCAUCAAGGAAUUAUUAAAGAUUUAUCGGUGAAAGAUGAGCAUGCGUCCCAUUAGCUAGUUGGUAAGGUAACGGCUUACCAAGGCAACGAUGGGUAGGGGUCCUGAGAGGGAGAUCCCCCACACUGGUACUGAGACACGGACCAGACUCCUACGGGAGGCAGCAGUGAGGAAUAUUGGACAAUGGGCGCAAGCCUGAUCCAGCCAUGCCGCGUGCAGGAUGACGGUCCUAUGGAUUGUAAACUGCUUUUAUACGAGAAGAAACAACUCUACGUGUAGAGUCUUGACGGUAUCGUAAGAAUAAGGAUCGGCAAACUCCGUGCCAGCAGCCGCGGUAAUACGGAGGAUCCAAGCGUUAUCCGGAAUCAUUGGGUUUAAAGGGUCCGUAGGCGGUCAGAUAAGUCAGUGGUGAAAGCCCAUCGCUCAACGGUGGA
rnacentral:rRNA from 1 species